rnacentral:misc_RNA from 1 species
UAAAAAGGAGCGCACAAUGGAAACAUACUGAUUGGCUAGCCUAGAGAUAGCAUCCAAGGCCCCAACCCUGCUACCAGUGAAAUAUGGUGUACUGUUGCAUUAAUUAGAUGUCCACAAUCACAUGAAGAUUAGGGUUGGGCCUGGAUUGUUUAGCAGAUUUAAUUACUUUUGUGCAAUUUUCAUCCUCAUUUUUCUAUUUUUAAUAUUUUAUACUGCAUUUUUUCAGUCAAAUGACCAACAUUGUUUGAUUUUGUAGUUUCUUCUUUGAAAUUUGAUUAUUCUUUGUUGUGUUUCAGGUUUAGUUUGUCCAUAACGAGUCUUGUCAAUGAUGUGAAUUUCUCCUUUAUGCAGUCUUCUGAUGUAAUUAUCUAAACUUAAUUUUUCAGGUUCUUACUGCCAUCGCAUUCUCCCUAAUUGUUCAAGAGAAUGUUGACAUUGCAGUUAUUGAGGCUG